rnacentral:rRNA from 1 species
GAUGAACGCUGGCGGCGUGCCUAAUACAUGCAAGUCGAACGAAGAUCUAGCUUGCUAGAUCUUAGUGGCGAACGGGUGAGUAAUACAUAAAUAAUCUGCCCAUAUGACUGGGAUAACUAUUGGAAACGAUAGCUAAUACCGGAUAGGUUGAUCGGAGGCAUCUCUGAUGAAUUAAAGUAGGAUUUCUACACAAAUGGAUGAGUUUAUGGCGCAUUAGUUAGUUGGUGGGGUAACGGCCUACCAAGACGAUGAUGCGUAGCCGACCUGAGAGGGUGACCGGCCACACUGGGACUGAGACACGGCCCAGACUCCUACGGGAGGCAGCAGUAGGGAAUUUUCGGCAAUGGGCGCAAGCCUGACCGAGCAACGCCGCGUGAGUGAUUAAGGCCUUCGGGUUGUAAAGCUCUGUUGUAAGGGAAGAACAUUCAGGAUAGGAAAUGAUCUUGAACUGACGGUACCUUACCAGAAAGCCACGGCUAACUACGUGCCAGCAGCCGCCGUAA